GGCUGCUGCAGUCCGGGGAAUGGGAGGAGGGCGCGGAGAAGAGCCGGAGAACCCGGUCAGAAAUGCAGGCCCUGACUCGGCA
rnacentral:misc_RNA from 1 species